rnacentral:rRNA from 1 species
GAUGAACGCUGGCGGCGUGCCUAAUACAUGCAAGUCGAACGAAACUUCUUUAUCACCGAGUGCUUGCACUCACCGAUAAAGAGUUGAGUGGCGAACGGGUGAGUAACACGUGGGCAACCUGCCCAAAAGAGGGGGAUAACACUUGGAAACAGGUGCUAAUACCGCAUAACCAUAGUUACCGCAUGGUAACUAUGUAAAAGGUGGCUAUACUACCGCUUUUGGAUGGGCCCGCGGCGCAUUAGCUAGUUGGUAGGGUAAAGGCUUACCAAGGCAAUGAUGCGUAGCCGAAUUGAGAGGUUGAUCGGCCACAUUGGGACUGAGACACGGCCCAAACUCCUAAGGGAGGCAGCAGUAGGGAAUCUUCCACAAUGGGCGAAAGCCUGAUGGAGCAACGCCGCGUGGGUGAAGAAGGUCUUCGGAUCGUAAAACCCUGUUGUUAGAGAAGAAAGUGCGUGCGAGUAACUGUUCACGUUUCGACGGUAUCUAACCAGAAAGCCACGGCUAACUACGUG